GGGUUGUGAGGUUAAGCGACUAAGCGUACACGGUGGAUGCCCUGGCAGUCAGAGGCGAUGAAGGGCGUGCUAAUCUGCGAUAAGCGCCGGUAAGGUGAUAUGAACCGUUAUAACCGGCGAUACCCGAAUGGGGAAACCCAGUGUGAUUCGUCACACUAUCAUUAACUGAAUCCAUAGGUUAAUGAGGCGAACCGGGGGAACUGAAACAUCUAAGUACCCCGAGGAAAAGAAAUCAACCGAGAUUCCCCCAGUAGCGGCGAGCGAACGGGGAGGAGCCCAGAGCCUGAAUCAGCAUGUGUGUUAGUGGAAGCGUCUGGAAAGGCGCGCGAUACAGGGUGACAGCCCCGUACACAAAAGCGCAUGUGCUGUGAGCUCGAUGAGUAGGGCGGGACACGUGGUAUCCUGUCUGAAUAUGGGGGGACCAUCCUCCAAGGCUAAAUACUCCUGACUGACCGAUAGUGAACCAGUACCGUGAGGGAAAGGCGAAAAGAACCCCGGCGAGGGGAGUGAAAAAGAAC
rnacentral:rRNA from 1 species